rnacentral:rRNA from 1 species
GGUGGGGAUGACGUCAAGUCAUCAUGGCCCUUACGGCCUGGGCUACACACGUGCUACAAUGGUCGGUACAAAGGGUAGCCAAGCCGCGAGGUGGAGCUAAUCCCAUAAAACCGAUCGUAGUCCGGAUCGCAGUCUGCAACUCGACUGCGUGAAGUCGGAACCGCUAGUAAUCGUGAAUCAGAAUGUCCACGGUCAAUACGUUCCCGGGCCUU